UGUUCCCGAGGUUCCGUGGUCGGGCAGAGGGGUUGGGGUAAGGAGCAGGUGGUACCCUGCGGGGCUUGGGAAGUUGGAUUCCCAGCUCACAGCACGGCAAAAGUAGGAGCGAAUGCGGAGUGAUCAGUGUCCCCCUCCCUUUCCCAGCCCUACAGCCAGGAGCAAAAGUUCAGUGCACCAUCCAAAAUACAGGAGAAACAAACCUCCAGCAUUGCCUGCCAGAGGUAGGGGCUGGCCCCCUCCCAGGAGGGCGGUGCAUUAAAAAGCCCUUUCCUCGAGCUGUUUUCCACUCGGGAUAGCAGUGCAGCAAGAAUGGAGACCUGAGGUCUGUUUUUAGCUGGUUAAUUCUUACUUUUCUUUGCUCACUCUGAAGUAGGCCGUGUAAAACCACUCUUCUCCUUUGGUGUGUCUUUUAGCACCAGGAGAAUGGAUCCCCUCUCUUGUAAAUUAAAUUGGCGUGUUAUCCUUGA